rnacentral:rRNA from 1 species
UACGAGAGGCGCAAACGUUAUUCGGAUUUACUGGGCUUAAAGAGUUCGUAGGCGGCGCAGAAAGUAGGGUGUGAAAGCCCUCGGCUCAACCGAGGAAUUGCGCUCUAAACUACUGUGCUUGAGGAAGCUAGAGGUGAGCGGAACUGAUGGUGGAGCGGUGAAAUGCGUUGAUAUCAUCAGGAACACCGGAGGCGAAGGCGGCUCACUGGGGCUUAUCUGACGCUGAGGAACGAAAGCCAUGGGAGCGAACGGG